ensembl:lncRNA
AUGAGCCCCACGGGACAAGCUUGGGAGCCGCUCCUGGGGGAAAACACAGCACAGCGAGAGCUGCAGUGCUCGGGGUCUGACCGCCAGGUGCUGGGGGGCACGGGUGAGCUCCUGGAAGAGGUGAUGGGCACCAGGAAGAAAGGUUUGUUGUCUGCAGGGUCAACGAUGCCGUGCUUCCAUCCCCGUGCUAGAAAUUUAAAUAUUUCAUUACCCAUUUGCAUCACAGGGACUUCCCUGCAAACCUGGCUUGAGGGCUGGCCCGCUCUCCUGCUUGACCCCAGGGCCUCGGCUUAUUUUAAUCCCGGCUCGAUAACGUGGUCAGUGCUGACCACCGGUUCCACCGCCUGCUCUCUGAGCCAGCAGCAGCAGCUCGCGCUCUCAUUCCCUACCGCUUUCGGGUUACGCAGCCGCUCCCCCAACCAAGGGGUUGGGACAGUCAUUAGUGUGCAACGAGGAGUGCACGCACCAGUAACCAUGGCAACUCCAAGAGCAUCAGCCUCCCGCUGGAAUCAGGAAUCAAGCCCACAGGGAAACGCUGAGCACAUAAGGACUUCCCCUCGCCAUGCUGCAGAAAGCCUUUGCUCCGCAUUCCUGAGAGCUCAUCACCUCAUCAGUAUUUUCCUUAUCAGUUACAUAAUUGAGAAGGCGCAGAGUCACACCGCCGGGGAGAAGUUAUUAGAUGCCACCCCUCCGCAGAGCGGCGAGAUGAGUGCUGUUUAUCACUGCUGGCAGGUUACAGAUACGGCGGGCCCGUACCACUCUGCAGGCACCCAGGCACCGCACGCGGGUGCUGCUCCACGCCUGGGGUCUGCUUACACAGCACAGGGCAGGGAUGCCAUGCUAACAACGCGCUAUAAAUACCCGACAGCUGGGGACCUAAAGGAAUGAAGCCCCUUCUUGCUGUUUCCCAAAGAAGCUGCCUUUCCAGAGCCCGGUUUGGCGGCGCUCCCUGGGAUGAUGUUUGCCCUGCGCCCCGGUGCUUUCAGCAUAAUCAGGCCCCGAGCGUUCACGUGGGGAUCUCUGCUGCUGCUUCUCUGCUUCAAAGAGAUCUGGGGAGGGAGACUGAAGGGGAACAGGGCAGGAACAUCUGGCAGCUGCUGGGAGAACCGGCAGCCACAUUUGGAGGACAGGAUGGCCAGGCUCACCCCCAGCAGGGGCAGCCCACAAACAGCUCCAGCUCAAAAAACACAUCGUGCAUCCCCCCAUCAGCUCCAGGGACAGCCCUGCUGCCCAGAAACAGCCCCAGGAUGCACCCCACACAGCCCUCCUGCUGCCCAGGUAACACAGCUCCAUGCUUACCUUUCCUCAAGCACAUCUGUGCGCAACCAGCAUGCACAGAGCACAAUUAAGAAGCAAAUCUGCACAUCCCAGUGCCAUCAGAGCUGACAUAGCACAGGCUCUGGCUGCAGCAGAGGAUAUUUCCAUGCACUUUCCUCACCGACCCAGGGGACGCCAGCCCUGCACCUUAGGGCCCUUCUGCCAGCCAAGGCUUGUCAAGCAGCACACGCUGCACCACUCGUCACAUACAGGACAGGUGGGCACCGAGCCCCAGCGCACAGCCCAGCUCCUGCUUGUCUGCACACCAGGGAAAACACAGGCAGACAGCAUAACCCCCAGACCUCCAGCUUCUAACACAGCAGGGGCUGGGGAGCUGCCCUCCUGCUAAAUGCCCUGCCGAUUAUUGGCCCCAGCUGUGCCUGCAGCGGGGGGCCCGGGCGUGCACAGGCUGCACAGUGGGCACGCAGGAAAAAAUUGCAGGGCUUGCAAGCAUGCUCCAGUUAGUCAAGUUUUUACCAAGAACCCAUGUACUUCAGCUGAAAAAAUCGUCAGGAAACUUUUUAAGUAUGAAAACCAAGAAUUCUUUUGAACACCUGAGAUACAGAUGCUCGUGGCCCUCUCCUGCCUACCAGAAGGUGGUUCUGGUGCAUGGGGUGUGAUUUGCAAAGGCACUUAGCGUGAGCCUGGAACCUUGAUCUGAAUCCAAAUUAAAUGUGGUUUUUCUUUUUUUUUGGCAAAAGAGGCUUACUUCAGAUGAGUUUUUAUCCUUGCUGAGAGCACUUUGUCCUUUGCAAAUUACCUGCAGGCUGGCAGUCCGUACAUUUAUUAUGCAGGUAUUUAAAGGACCUCUUCCAAAUGGCAUGGAAGUUCAUCCCCUACUUUCUGCUCCUAGCGAGCCGUGACACAUUUCUUUUCCACACGCAUUCUGUGGGAACAAGCAGAUAUUCUCAGGCAUUCAUGAAUAAAAGGAUCAUGAAUACUGACGCA